rfam:Dipodomys ordii contig_55617, whole genome shotgun sequence.
GGGAAGGUGGCUCAGUGGUAGAGUGCUUGCCUUGCAUGCAUGAGGCCCUGGGUUCAAUUCCUCACUACCA